rnacentral:ribozyme from 11 species
AGAGGAAGAAAUAAAAAAAAAAAAAAAAAAAAAAAUUAAUGUCGUGUAAAAUAAAUGUAUUUUUAAAUUCAUUUUUUUUUCCCUUUUUUUUUUUA